UACGUAGGGGGCAAGCGUUGUCCGGAUUUAUUGGGCGUAAAGCGCUCGCAGGUGGUUCGAUGCGUCGCGCGUGAAAGACCCCGGCUCAACUGGGGGGUGUCGUGCGAUACGGUCGGACUGGAGGCCAGUAGGGGGAUGCGGAAUUCCGGGUGUAGUGGUGGAAUGCGUAGAGAUCCGGAGGAACACCAGCGGCGAAGGCGGCAUCCUGGACCAAUUCUGACGCUGAGUGAGCGAAAGCCAGGGGAGCAAACGGG
rnacentral:rRNA from 1 species